rnacentral:rRNA from 1 species
AUUGAACGCUGGCGGCAGGCCUAACCCAUGCAAGUCGAGCGAGCGGCGGACGGGUGAGUAAUGUAUGGGGACUGCCCGAUAGAGUGGGAUAACUACUGGAAACGGUAUCUAAUACCGCAUACUAUCUGCUAUCCCAUAUGGGCUUAGCUCAUUGGUGAGGUAAUGGCUCACCAAGGCGACGAUCCCUAGCUGGUCUGAGAGGAUGAUCAGCCACACUGGGAGUGAGACACGGCCCAGACGCGUACGGAGGCAGCAGUGGGGAAGAGUGCACAAUGGGCGCAAGCCUGAUGCAGCCAUGCCGCGUGUAUGAAGAAGGCCCUAGGGUUGUAAAGUACUGUCGCUAUCGAACGGGUAGGUGGAGAAGAAGCGCCGGCUAACUACGUGCCAGGAGCCGCGGUAAUAC